AUGACCUUGACAGCUACCACGCCUCAGGUCGACAGAGGGAGCCCUAACUCUGCAGUCCCCUCGGUUCCAGGGCUGGCUGGUGGCAGACUCUUCCUGCACAAGGUGGCUCUCCCACCCCGUGGAAGGACAUUCCUAGAGCGUGGGGGGCAUCAGGAAUGGGCUCUGCAGGAUUGGAAGACUUUCCCUUUAGUCAAGGGGAAGAGAGGGUUUAGGACUGGGAGGAGGUGCUCAGUGCUAGCGGAGGUCCCACAGGGGGCAGGCUUCUGGGCCCGCAGCCCCAUGUCCACCCUAGCCAUGCUUGCGGGGAGGGGGGGGGGCUUGCCUUGCCCUCCUGCUGGGAGCCACCCUCUGACCCUUCUACACGGUCAUCCCUCCCUGUUCCGAUCACUCCUCCCCAGCUCCACACCUGGCUUCCUGGAAUGGGGGACACUGUCCAGUGCUGCGUCCCUCUGCAAGGCCCGCCUGCUAUCGGGCUCUGAAUUAGGGGUGUCCGGAGACCGCCCCGGGAGCCAACCCCAGAGCCUCCCGGAUGGGGUAGGGGAGACUCAGUGGGAGCCCUGGCCCGGGCGGCAGCUCCCCCACCCCCACCCCAGCACGGAGGCAGACCUCAGGCCACCUCCCUCCAUCACUGAGGAGGCAGUGGGAGCCACGGCCGCCUCCUCCCCCCUCCCUGCUGCCGCCGCGGCUGAGCCGGCAGGUUGUCUUGGCAACGGGAGGCGGAGAGGAGAUGCGCCGAGGGAUGGAGGUGUAUGUCACCGAGGAAGCCGCGGUGCUCCUGCCCCACGCCCCAGGCCCCUGAAGGUACCGGAGAGCCCUCCCCUCCCCCCUGCCCUUGCCCCUGGCUGCCUGGCUUCCCCACUCCAUCCAACGUGCUCGUGUCGCAGAGGAGAACGUCCCCCUCUUCCCGCGCCCAGGGGCUCCGAUCCAUUCGUCAUGAGUCUCCUUCCAGGCCCCAGUCCACAGCUGUCCUUCCCCGCAACAGCGCAUUCCAGCCCUGCCUCUGGCCACCCUUGCACCGGAAGACAAAUCUGGGGUGGGGUCUGGUGGGGGGCGAGUGGCAGCAGGGCAGGAACGUGGCAGCGGGGAAGAUCGGGGAUCCUGCGGGGCCGGGGUGGAAAGGCACCGGCGCUGGGCUCCUGGAAGGGUGGCAGGAGGCUGUGCAGAGCCGACCGGGUGGGGCCGGGGCUGAAGGGUGGGCUCCACGGGAGGAGAGCCGAGCCGAGAGGCUGCCUGGGGCCGGGCUGGUUGCCCAGAAGGGCUGGUGCCCGUCCUGCCACACCAAAGGUACACCUCCUCCUGCAUCAUGUCCUGACCUUUUUUCCCCAGAUGUUUCUUCCCCCACCCCCAGGAUUUCUGGUUCCUUUCUGCAGGGCCCUCUCCCAGCCACUCCCCAGCAGCUGA
rnacentral:lncRNA from 1 species